CCAAAGGCUCUUUUCAGAGCCACCCAAAGAUCUCGGGAAAAGAGCU
rfam:TPA: Bos taurus chromosome 23, whole genome shotgun sequence.